GACGAACGCUGGCGGCGUGCUUAACACAUGCAAGUCGAGCGGAAAGGCCACUUCGGUGGUACUCGAGCGGCGAACGGGUGAGUAACACGUGAGUAAUCUGCCCCUGGCUUUGGGAUAGCCACCGGAAACGGUGAUUAAUACCGGAUACGACCACUUCUCGCAUGGGAUGGUGGUGGAAAGUUUUUUCGGCCAGGGAUGUGCUCGCGGCCUAUCAGCUUGAUGGUGAGGUAAUGGCUCACCAUGGCUUCGACGGGUAGCCGGCCUGAGAGGGUGACCGGUCACACGGGGACGGGGACACGGCCCAGACUCCUACGGGAGGCAGCAGUGGGGAAUAUUGGACAAUGGGCGGAAGCCUGAUCCAGCAACGCCGCGUGAGGGAUGACGGCCUUCGGGUUGUAAACCUCUUUCAGCAGGGACGAAGCGCAAGUGACGGUACCUGCAGAAGAAGCACCGGCCAACUACGUGCCAGCAGCCGCCGUAA
rnacentral:rRNA from 1 species